rnacentral:rRNA from 1 species
UGCAAGUCGAGCGGUAAGGCCUUUCGGGGUACACGAGCGGCGAACGGGUGAGUAACACGUGGGUGAUCUGCCCUGCACUUCGGGAUAAGCCUGGGAAACUGGGUCUAAUACCGGAUAUGACCUCCUAUCGCAUGGUGGGUGGUGGAAAGAUUUAUCGGUGCAGGAUGGGCCCGCGGCCUAUCAGCUUGUUGGUGGGGUAAUGGCCUACCAAGGCGACGACGGGUAGCCGACCUGAGAGGGUGACCGGCCACACUGGGACUGAGACACGGCCCAGACUCCUACGGGAGGCAGCAGUGGGGAAUAUUGCACAAUGGGCGAAAGCCUGAUGCAGCGACGCCGCGUGAGGGAUGACGGCCUUCGGGUUGUAAACCUCUUUCAGCAGGGACGAAGCGCAAGUGACGGUACCUGCAGAAGAAGCACCGGCUAACUACGUGCCAGCAGCCGCGGUAAUACGUAGGGUGCAAGCGUUGUCCGGAAUUACUGGGCGUAAAGAGUUCGUAGGCGGUUUGUCGCGUCGUUUGUGAAAACCAGCAGCUCAACUGCUGGCUUGCAGGCGAUACGGGCAGACUUGAGUACUGCAGGGGAGACUGGAAUUCCUGGUGUAGCGGUGAAAUGCGCAGAUAUCAGGAGGAACACCGGUGGCGAAGGCGGGUCUCUGGGCAGUAACUGACGCUGAGGAACGAAAGCGUGGGUAGCGAACAGGAUUAGAUACCCUGGUAGUCCACGCCGUAAACGGUGGGCGCUAGGUGUGGGUGUCCUUCCCCGGAAUCCGUGCCGUACCUAAAGCAUUAGGCGCACCCGCCUGGGGGAGGACGGCCAUCGAGGCCUCA